rnacentral:tRNA from 3 species
GGCGGGGUAGCUCAGGUGGUUAGAGCGCACGACUCAUAAUCGUGAGGUCGCGGGUUCGAGUCCCGCUCCCGCUACCA